UAUGUUCCGGCCGGCCUUCAAGAC
rnacentral:siRNA from 1 species